AAGUCGUAACAAGGUAACCGUAGGUGAACCUGCGGAAGGAUCAUUAACACGUUAUCCACGUUAUCAACCAAAUGCGAACUUGUUUUCACGUCUCCCUUUGCAAUUUGAAUGAAUUGGAACCAGUUUGAGGGAAUUGAUGUGGAUUGCAGUCAAAUGCAAUCGGCCUUCCUGGUAUACUAACGAACACUGAAAAGUGAUUGUUGACAAUUGUAUCUUAUUGAUUAAAAGGCCAAAUUUCUUUCGCUAUUUCGAUCUCACAUCAUGAUCAAUGAAAUAGCUGAAAGAGAAAAACCAAAUAAACCAUUUUCACCACCUUUUUGCUAGUUGACUUUUUAUCUGUGAUCGUUUUGCUUUUUAGCAAUGCAGUCGCACGUUUAAAUUACUUGAACGUUAAAAAUAUACAACUCUUAGCAAUGGAUAUCUUGGUUCUC
rnacentral:misc_RNA from 1 species